rnacentral:lncRNA from 1 species
AGCUCUUAUUACAAAGGAUAAUAAUUACACGGGCCUGAUGAUACAAAGAAUCACAUCAGCAUGGCGACACUACACCUACGAUACUACACUUGCUCUAUGCUAGCAGUGGAACAACUCGUAGCAGCGGAAUACUUCUAGCAGUGGAACAACGACGAAGGUGGUGAACUCCACUCUGUAGGGACUCUGGUUGGGACACGAUCUAGCUCGCACGCGUGGUAACCUCGACAAGCAAUCAAUCAAACAAGGCAUCACCUGCAAUCUGGCAUGACACGCCAGGUCAGUACAUUGCAUGUACUUGCAAGCUCACAACAACCAAAAGCAUCAAGGCAAGACAAUAACAUAGAAUUAAACAGGUUAAUUAAAUUAACAGCUACCAUGAUACAAAAGCAUCUACUAAGAUGAUAUGAAACUACUACAAUACUGAUAAACCAACAUCUCAAUCUCAGAAACCAUCUCACUCUAGGCUAACGGGCCAAGCAAUAUACCAUCUUGAUCACCUCAUGAUCCACCUGAUCACCUCGUGAUCAAAACAUCCACAUGAUAACCUCAUGAUCAAAACAUCCACAUGAUCACCUCAUGAUCAAAACAUCCACAUGAUCACCUCGUGACCACAUCACAAAAUGAUCAUCCUCAAGAUCAUCUCAAUAUCAUCAUCUGCAUCCUGCCAAACUAUUACUGCUCACAAUAUAUCAACAUAUAAAUCACCUAUAAGUCAUUCCGUCAAGUCAGUGUUGAUCGAACGGUGUGACCUAGUACGAACUUGUGCCCAUGACCAAGGACGCGUCUAUCAAUAGAUUAAACACACACACACUGCAGAGGUUAGCGCACUGUACCAAC